rnacentral:tRNA from 1 species
GGGUAUAGCUCAGUGGUAGAGCGUGUGCUUAGCAUGCACGAGGUCCUGGAUUCAGUCCCCAGCACGUCCA